rnacentral:rRNA from 1 species
GACGAACGCUGGCGGCGCGCUUAACACAUGCAAGUCGAGCGAAGCGGCGGACGGGUGAGUAACACGUGAGUAACCUGCCUUAGACAUUGGGAUAGACUCGGGAAACCGGGAUUAAUACCAAAUGGUCUAAGAUGGACUCGCGUCCCAUUAGCUAGUUGGUGAGGUAACGGCCAACCAAGGGGACGAUGGGUAGCCGGCCUGAGAGGGUGAACGGCAACAUUGGAACUGAGAAACGGUCCAAACUCUACGGGUGAAAGCAGUGGGGAAGAUUGCACAAUGGAGGGAACUCUGAUGCAGCGACGCCGCGUGAACUAAGAAGGCUUUCGAGUCGUAAAGUUCUUUUAUAUGGGACGCGGUACCAUAAUGAAAAGCCCCGGCUAACUACGUGCCAGCCGCCGCGGUAAUAC